CUCAUAGUUGGUACUCUCCAAUGCAAAUAAUUUGAAACCAUUAAAUGAACAAUUGCUGGUGAGAAGCAAAAACCAUGUUGUUUUCCCUUCAUUUUCAUGUAGAUAGGGGACACUUGACUAUCAUCUUGGCUAGUUGUGCUAGAAAAACCACUUCAUUAAAGUCAUCAUGUGGCUAUUUUUUUAUGGUCUCUGUCACCCUAUCUUUAAAUCAGGUGGUCCAGGCGAAGUUAUCAUCUUUAUCUAUUCUUGUGGAUUUUGUUCUAAGGGUGUCCUUUAUGUAAAUCAUGAGUCUUGUUCUUCAACAAAUUUGUAGUCUGAAUACUUUAGAGAGUAAGCAAAGCCAUGUAAAACUUCAUAUGGCAUUGUCUCUUAGUAUAGUGAUCUAUCAUCUAUUUCCCUUGACCACCACUAAAUAUUUUGAUAUGAAACUUGUCAUAACAAACUUUCACUUGCGUGUUUCUAAAAUCCUUCAGUCUUAUUUUUAUUUUUAUAAGUAAGGGAGUGCUAGACCUUUGCUUACUAUUCCUACUGAGUUAAUGAACCUCUACUAAUGAACAAGCGUGCAAAAAAAAAAGAACUAGAGAGAACUAAAUAUUCUAGGAUCGGGUCAACACAAUAACUUUUGCUCUCUUCUUGACUCGAUUAGCUGUCAAGAUAGCUGAGAAUUGAUCCUACUCAGGGACAUGCAGUGCAAUAUCAAACUCCAAACUAGCAUGUAUCUAUAUACUCCAUCAACUUUCUGUUCCCACUACUUCUUAUUCAAAGUCCCAGUUUUAUGUGAUGAAGAAGUGUUUCCAUUGGUCUCUGAGUUUGUUGAAAAAUCCUCUUGUUUCGUUCAAUCCAGAUGUUGUAUAUAACUGUUGCAAAACUGGCUUUCAAGAUGAUACCUCUUGCUUGUUUACUCCUUGACUUCUUAUCCACCCAUUUCCACUCAUCUUUCCAUUGGAGUAUGCCUCUGUGACAUGUUUGCCAUGCUAGUAUUGAUGUCCAUAAUGCUUUGGUAUAGGGGCAUUUAAAUAGUAAAUGAUCCUCAAUCUGCCUUGCAUUUGUAGCCAUAGUAUAAAUAUAUGUUUUGCUUCAGCACAACUAUGACAUACCAAGUUCUUCCAUUCCACAUUAGGAACCUCACCUCUUACAGUCAAUAGUUCUUAACCAACCCUUCUUUUUUGAAUUAUUAAUGUUUAUUAAUUAAUUCAUUAUUAUAUUAUGUCUUUCUUUCUGAAGGGCUUGUGGUUUAUUACACCAAAGGGCAAUUCGUUAAACGAUAUCUGUAUAAUGAAUACCUCUUCUGAAGCCAUACCGCGAAUCUCUUGUCUUCUGGUAAAGGGUCGGAGAAGACCUCAUUUCGUCAUUCAUAUCUAUUCGUCUUAGCCCUGCUUCGGCGAUUCAAUCUGACAUUUCAUUUCCCCCUUCAUCAUUUGAUUUUUCGCGUCUAAGAGCUAAUCUUGCAAAAGGAGUACAGUGCGAUAACAAGCGAUUUGUGAUCAAUAAAAAGUACCGCCUUUGAGAUCAGAAAUUUACAUUCAUGGAUCAGUUUUUCAGUGUCUUCCCAAGUUUGCCAGAAUUUCCUCAUAUGCAAUAUCUUUUUCACCAUCCAUGAUGCUUGUGUUGGAACUUUUAUAGUCCCAAUAAGCUGACUUUUAAUGUAGUAUGUGUGAAUAUAAUCCAUGUUAUCCGUAGUUUGUCCUUCUUCAAACUCAAGACCCAAAGUAGUUUGCAUAAGGC
rnacentral:lncRNA from 1 species